CAGUCGCCACGGUAAUGCGUAGGGUGCAAGCGUUAAUCGGAAUUACUGGGCGUAAAGCGUGCGCAGGCGGUUCGUUAAGACAGGUGUGAAAUCCCCGGGCUCAACCUGGGAACUGCAUUUGAGACUGUAUGGCUAGAGUGUGUCAGAGGAGGGUAGAAUUCCACGUGUAGCAGUGAAAUGCGUAGAGAUGUGGAGGAACACCAGUGGCGAAGGCGACUCUCUGGUCUGUAACUGACGCUGAGGAGCGAAAGCGUGGGGAGCGAACAGGAUUAGAUACCCCAGUAGUCCCUGUCUCUUAUAC
rnacentral:rRNA from 1 species